rnacentral:rRNA from 1 species
AACGAACGCUGGCGGCGCGCCUAAUACAUGCAAGUCGAGCGAGAAGACGUAGCAAUACGUUUGUAAAGCGGCGAACGGGUGAGGAAUACAUGGGUAACCUACCCUCGAGUGGGGAAGUAACUAGCCGAAAGGUUAGCUAAUACCGCGUACGCUCCUUGGACUUCGGUUCAGGGAGGAAAGCGAUACCGUGGGUAUCGCGCUCUUGGAUGGGCUCAUGUCCUAUCAGCUUGUUGGNGAGGUAACGGCUCACCAAGGCUUCGACGGGUAGCUGGUCUGAGAGGACGAUCAGCCACACUGGCACUGCGACACGGGCCAGACUCCUACGGGAGGCAGCAGUAAGGAAUAUUGCGCAAUGGGCGAAAGCCUGACGCAGCGACGCCGCGUGGGGGAGUGAAGGU